rnacentral:misc_RNA from 1 species
GUUGAACAAGUCAUGCCAUUCCUGAGCAGGGACAUCUUGAGGAAGUGGAUGGUUAUUUGUGUCCUCUGACAGUUUGUUGACCACUGCCCAGAUCAUGUCCAACAACUCCUUGUCGUCCAUCUCCUCCAAAGUAAGGUCACUUUCUGCCCUCAGGUCCAUACAAUUCUGGUGUGUAGCCGUCCAUUUCAUUGUUGUUCUUCUGUGACAUUGAUGAAAAACUGGGUUUGAGACACUGCAACAAGCUUACAUGCUGAUAAAUACAAAUGAAUGAUCCAAUAUUAUCAUGUAUUAUGAAAUAAAACUAAACAAGUGUAACCCUUCUGAGAGGAAAAGAGAAUAGUACUGAAAAAUAGUAACUAGGUUCAAUAACCAGUGAAAUCAGAAGUUCUAAGAUCGACUAUGGAGCCCAGGAUUGAUCAAACGAUGACGCAGGAGUAUACGCUUCCCUAUUUAUUACAGGAUGGGAAGGAUGAAUAAAAACAUCAAUCACACAAAUUAUCACAACUCUUACCCGGGUAAGUAUAGAAAAUAAAAAAUAAAAUAAAGUUUUGCAGCUGCGUUUUUUCUAAAGUUCAGUUCACCUGUUUUCAGUCACUGUUCAGUCAACACCGUGAAGGUGGAAAAUCAGUCCCACCGCACUGUUGCGUGGAUG